rnacentral:rRNA from 1 species
CCUACGGGCGGCAGCAGUGAGGAAUAUUGGUCAAUGGACGAGAGUCUGAACCAGCCAAGUAGCGUGAAGGAUGACUGCCCUAUGGGUUGUAAACUUCUUUUAUAUGGGAAUAAAAUGUUCCACGUGUGGGAUUUUGUAUGUACCAUAUGAAUAAGGAUCGGCUAACUCCGUGCCAGCAGCCGCGGUAAUACGGAGGAUCCGAGCGUUAUCCGGAUUUAUUGGGGUUAAAGGGAGCGUAGGUGGAUUUUUAAGUCAGUUGUGAAAGUGUGCGGGUCAACCGUAAAAUUGCAGUUGAAACUGGCAGUCUUGAGUACAGGAGAGGUGGGCGGAAUUCGUGGUGUAGCGGUGAAAUGCUUAGAUAUCACGAAGAACUCCGAUUGCGAAGGCAGUUCACUGGACUGCAACUGACACUGAGGCUCGAAAGUGUGGGUAUCAAACAGGAUUAGAUACCCGUGUAGUC